CAGCAGCCGCGGGAAUACGAAGGGUGCAAGCGUUAAUCGGAAUUACUGGGCGUAAAGCGUGCGUAGGCGGUGAGUUAAGUCUGCUGUGAAAUCCCCGGGCUCAACCUGGGAAUGGCAGUGGAUACUGGCUCGCUAGAGUGUGUCAGAGGAUGGUGGAAUUCCCGGUGUAGCGGUGAAAUGCGUAGGGAUCGGGAGGAACAUCAGUGGCGAAGGCGGCCAUCUGGGACAACACUGACGCUGAGGCACGAAAGCGUGGGGAGCAAACAGGAUUAGAUACCCCUGUAGUCCCUGUCUCUUAUAC
rnacentral:rRNA from 1 species